AUCGCUUCUCAGCCUUUUGGCUAAGAUCAAGUGCAGAGUAUAUGCUUUUUUCAAUUAAAAAAAAUCAGAGAAAGGCAUAAUAAUCUUACUCAUUUUGGCAAUAAUUCCUGAGACUGAAUAUUUAGUGAGGAAAUAGUAAAUUUUUUGUCCUAUUCAGUAGCUCCAUAAAAAUACAGUUUACUGCUC